rnacentral:rRNA from 1 species
UACAGAGGUCUCAAGCGUUGUUCGGAUUCAUUGGGCGUAAAGGGUGCGUAGGUGGCAUGGUAAGUCGGAUGUGAAAUCCCGGGGCUCAACCCCGGAACUGCAUUCGAUACUGCUGCGCUAGAGUACUGGAGAGGAGAUUGGAAUUUACGGUGUAGCAGUGAAAUGCGUAGAUAUCGUAAGGAAGACCAGUGGCGAAGGCGGAUCUCUGGACAGUUACUGACACUGGGGCACGAAGGCCAGGGGAGCAAACGGG